rnacentral:lncRNA from 1 species
GGGGUAGGUGCACAGGUCAACAGAACUAAACUACAGUGAUCUUCCCUUAGAUCCUUUUCUACUGAGGUGAAUAUCCAGGCUAACCCCUGUAGCCUCUACGCAAUUAACACAGAAGAAAGGCCUUCCUCCCUUCCAGCACUGGGGCUCAACAGUGGACUGAGUGUUUGAGCAAAGCCAGACUUCUGCUUUGAUGACUGAGCUACAGGGACAGGAGUGGUCCAAGGUUCUCAAAUUCUGCUGUAGGGAAUGCUGGUUAGUUUGCUGAACAGACACUGUGUUCAGCAGGGGGAGCACAGGGGUGUAGGUGGAGACACUGCGGAGGCCACGUGAAAGUGGCAGCUAGCUCUACUUUCAAAAGAGA